AGGGCCCUGAAUCAAGGCUGAUAGCUUGCAGUAGCUGUUGGUUUCAAACAGGAGCCAAAAUGAUGUUCUUCCUGUGGUCUGUUGGAUAUCCCUCCUCCUUUUGAUAGGGGAUAUCCAGUUCAGUUGGAAGAGACAAUA
ensembl:snoRNA SNORA2A small nucleolar RNA, H/ACA box 2A